rnacentral:rRNA from 1 species
CCUACGGGAGGCAGCAGUAGGGAAUAUUGCGCAAUGGGCGAAAGCCUGACGCAGCAAUUCCGCGUGGAGGAUGAAGGUUCUUGGACUGUAAACUCCUUUCGGUGGUGACGAUAAUGACGGUAGCCACAGAAGAAGCACCGGCUAACUACGUGCCAGCAGCCGCGGUAAU